ensembl:lncRNA
AGACAUUUAUCCUGUCUAUAAAGAAAGUUCUUGUAGAGUGUAUUAUUACACGAGUUCUUCACAUCAGGAGGGCUGACUGAGUUAAUGAGGGCUGAGAGGUGGCCUGUAGUCUCUAAUAGGAUGGGAAACGCGUUCAUUUUUCCUUUGCAUGAACAGGAGGAGCGUUUGCGUCACUGGAGUCAGCUGUGCGCGCGUCUCACGAGUGUAUCUGCACUUCACGAGAGACUACAAAACUUUACACUCUUCCAACUGUGAGAUAAAACACUGCUUUUCAACAGGCGGGUAGAAGAAGAGUGGAAUAAUAAAACUAGAAGGAAACGGGUUAAGAAGGAAAAGGCGGAGGAAGGCGUUUGGCGUGCUGGACUGAGACCCGGUCCAGCGGUGUGGUCUGCUCGGCCCUGUGGUCAUGUACAGCACACAAAAGACCUGGGACGUCGGCCACACCCCCUGCCUGCAGGAGCUCUGGAACGAAGACCUCUCAUUGGAUGCCCUCGCUGGCUCAGUCAUCAGAGAGAGAGCAAGCGAUGUGUUCUUACCCACUGACAAGGAGAAACACAGUCAGUUUCGGACCGAACAGAGAACACCUUGCGUUCUGUGCUGGUACAGAAGGGUAAAUCUCCUUAGAGAUGAGAGCAGGGCUUGAACACGAGGACUGUUGUGUGUGCCAGAGAAAAUGUGUAUGUGUGCUAGUGCGCUCUGUGCUGCACGGGACAAUAUAACAACAGGCACAGUGAUUGUGUGAGAAACAAUGACCAAAAAGGACUAAAACAGGAGGCAAACAAAGAGGAAAAUCAGGGAAAUGUCGAGGCUGAGUGUUGGCGGCUGGUUUUUGCAGUGAUGCGGUGACAGAUUUGCAUUCAGGCUGACGCUCUUCUACGAAAGCGGCUCAACUGCUGUGUCAUCGUAAACCGCACCAGCGAGAGGCUGCACGUCUCAUCCGUGUGAGUGUGACAGAGAGCUGUUUGACAAACAAAACAGUUAUUCUUGUUUUUUGAUAAGGUUCAGGGCAAUGCAUCACUUGCAGCAGGUUGUUAUCUUACCAUUAGUUAAUGGUUUCU